UACAGAAGAGAGAUGUAAUCUCAAAUCUCUGCUGGGCAACUAAUUAGCUGUGUGACUUUAGGCAAGUUAUUAACUCCUCUCAGCCUCGUUUUUUUCCCCGUUGGAAAACUGUCCAUUAUAUUACUUACUUUAUGUUGUUAAUUUGAGCAUUAAAUAAAAUAAUGUAUGCACAAGUGCUUACAGAUAGCCUGACACACAGCAAGCACUCGGUAAACACUAGCUAUUAUUAUUAAUUUUAUAAACAAAUCUGAUCCAUAUAGUAUUUACCAUAAUGGCUGUAUGUUCUUAGUUCUUAAUAAUUUUUCUUUUCCAAAUGUAGUAUAUAAGAAGAGACCUGGCUGGGCGCAGCAGCUCACGCCUGUAAUCCCAGCACUUUGGGAGGCCGAGGCAGGUGGAUCAUGAGGUCAGGAGACUGAGACCAUCCUGGCUAACACGGUGAAACCCGGUCUCUACUAAAAGUACAAAAAAUUAGCCAGGCAUGGUGGCAGGUGCCUGUAGUCCCAGCUGCUCCGGAGGCUGAGGCAGGAGAAUGAUGUGAACCCAGGAGGCGGAGCUUGCAGUGAGCCGAGAUCGCACCACUGCACUCCAGCCUGGGCAACAGUGCAAGACUCCGUUGCAAAAAAAAAGAAAAAAAAAAAGAAGAAGAAGAAAAAGAAGAAGAAGAGAACUGCAGUGGAAGUUUUCACUGGAAAAGUUAACUAUGGACAGAUUCUGUAUCAUUUAGGACUUGAUAUGGCUGCAUAUUUUGGAAAAACCAAAACAACAUUGCAUCAAACAUACAGGGCUUAUUCUCUUACCUAAAAAGAAGUCCAGAGGCAGGCAGGGCAUAACUGGAAUAACAGUGACAUGAAGUCAUCCAGACCCAGAUUCUGUCUUUUCUGCCCCAUAUUCUGUAGAUCAUAGACACCACAUUUAAAGUAAUGUAAUGGUCCAAGAUGGCUGCUGAAGUUCUAGUCAUAAUACUCAUACUCAAGGCAGCAUGAAGGAAGAAGAAUAGAAAGACAGAAAGGGCACAACUCUCAGUUUUAAGGAGUCUUUUUGUAGUCCCAUAUGUUCCACUUACAUUUUAUUGACCAGACUUUAGUCACAGGACUGGUUUUACCUAGCAGGAAGACAGUCUGGGAAAUGUAGUUUUUUAGUUGGUUUCAUUCCCACCCUAAUUUGAAUUCUGUUACCAAGGAAGAAGAAGAAAGUGGUACUGGAAUGGCAAUUCGCAGUCUCUGCCUCACAGGCAAGAAUUGGUACUGAUUAGUGUUUUAGAGCAGCUGUGUUCCUAAGGUGUCAGGGUUGCUUCUGAGGGUGGACAGGGUCUAGACAGGACAGAGACCCAGAGAUCUGGGUUUAUAUGUUUAAAAUAUUGAAGUUGCAUGGAAGCUUUGUUUUGCUAAAAGGAUUCCACUGCCUAAAUUAACUCUGCAAAGCACUCUUGGAGAGGAAGGACAAUGUCAGUCCAUUCAAAACAAGAUAGAAGGCAGGAACACUAUAAAAAGGAUGUGGGGAGUAUACCUGGAAGGAUGAGAAGCAGAGGAUCAUAAAGUAACAACAACAAAAAAGUUACCCCUGUGCAUGUCCCUGUAGCUAACCCAAGAGGUGAUUGUGUUGAUUUGUCAGUGUGCUGUGGAAGUCCCAUAGGGAAGUCCCUGGGUGAAAUCUCAUUCCCUUGUAAAGAUAUGGCUGUACAGAACCCAUGUUGAUGUUGGAUCAGAACUUACAUUUUAGUGACACUGGAUUUAAUCACACAUUGACUGUUGUGAUCAAUGAUCCCACUGACCUUCCAAGCCUUAUUCUGAGCAAGUAAACGUCUGGGAUUCCUGAGGUAGUUCUACAUUCAAUUUUUCUGUUCCAGCAGACUCAUAAGGACAUUCAUGCUUGUCGGAUCAUGUGUUCUGAUUUCCGGUACUCGAUGCCCUGCCAAGGAUUGAUUCACUCUUGCCACAUGUUCCCCAGGCCUAGUGCAUCAGAUCUGAAGAAAUCUUGCAAGCUGAAGUCUGACAGUUUGGUGCAAACCUCGGAGGGCUCACCACUUCAGCAGAACAUGCAUAAGCCAGAGUUCUCUCUAGACAAAUUGUAUCCGGACAAAUAAGAAAGUCCAGUGAUAUGCUUAGUCCAUAUAUACCCUUUUAUAAGAGGGAACCAAGACAAUGGAUGAUGUCACCAAGAGCAUUGACAUCCAAGCUUUGGAGCUUGAAGAAAUUCAAAAGAGUGAUGCUCGAUAACUGAGAGAGUUUCCUCCACAAACGUCUUGGACUCAUUGGACUCAUUAACCUUCAGAUUCAACUCCCAGCUCUUUCCUUCAAUACCAGUUUCCAUAUUAAUGCUUCCCUUUUUCAUUUUAGGCACUCCCCUUUCAAGAAGCCUGAUCUCCAGACCCUAAAACAACUGAUCUUUGCCAUUGACUCUCCACAGAUGGUUCAGGUGGUUUUACAGGAACAACACUAACAAAGUCCUCUGGAGACCCUUUCUUGGAUCCCGCUCCACCUUCUCAGGAGGUUUAUGAUCACCUCGGAGUUGUUCAGCAAUGAGUGACAUUUGCCUUGAACAAAAAGGGGACUGACAAUGUUGAACUUUUCCUGAGUUUUGUGCUCCCUGAAAGUUGCAACAAUUAUGAAAUCCCCCACCCCACUCCUUUGUGUCCCAGGAGGCUAACUACAGAGGACCACCCUGCCCUUGCAUAUUCCAAGACAGACUCAUCUCCAUCCUUGCUCAUGACUCCUGUAGGACUCGCAGAUGGCUCCCUUAGUGACCUGCUUGCAUAAAACUCUCGGUCCCCUUCCUUUCCUUUGAGAAGUUCUCAUUAACGAUCAUUCUCCUUAUAAUAGCCUGAAUAAAAUCAUACAUUUAAUGUCU